GAAACCCCAGGUUGAGCUAGAAAACGUUGCUGGGGAGGAGGAUGACUGGAAUGCCCCGCUCAGCCUACUGCCAAACCCCAGGGUAUGCCAGCUGUGGUCUCCUGGAUGAAAGGUUGCUCACUGACUUAUGCCUCCACCUUUCCCCACCUCUUUGAAAGUGGACAGCUUUCCUAUGAUACUACAGGAGGCCUCAAGAGGAAAACAUGGAUGAGUGAGUCAUCAUCUGCGCUGCUUUGCCACACAGUGCUCCAGAAGAAGACUCUCUCUGAGUCUGUAACUGACAGCACAGAGCAAAACAGUUGAACACAGGACAGCUCACUAAGACAUGAAUGUGAAACCAGAACUUUCUUGCACUUCUCUACCACUUUCUCUCAGUGAUCAUUUGCCAUGGCGAUAUCUCAGAA